rnacentral:rRNA from 1 species
GCACAAGCGGUGGAGCAUGUGGUUAAUUCGAAGCAACGCGAAGAACCUUACCAGGCCUUGGCAUGCAGAGAACUUUCCAGAGAUGGAUUGGUGCCUUCGGGAACUCUGACACAGGUGCUGCAUGGCUGUCGUCAGCUCGUGUCGUGAGAUAUUGGGUUAAGUCCCGUAACGAGCGCAACCCUUGUCCUUAGUUACCAGCACGUUAUGGUGGGCACUCUAAGGAGACUGCCGGUGACAAACCGGAGGAAGGUGGGGAUGACGUCAAGUCAUCAUGGCCCUUACGGCCUGGGCUACACACGUGCUACAAUGGUCGGUACAAAGGGUUGCCAAGCCGCGAGGUGGAGCUAAUCCCAUAAAACCGAUCGUAGUCCGGAUCGCAGUCUGCAACUCGACUGCGUGAAGUCGGAAUCGCUAGUAAUCGUGAAUCAGAAUGUCACGGUGAAUACGUUACCCGGGCCUU